rnacentral:rRNA from 1 species
CCCCGGCGCCACGAGUGGGAAUCACGAUUAUUGGGUCUAAAGCGUCCGUAGCCGGUUUGAACAAUCUUUGGUGAAAUCGUUCUGCUUAACAGGACGGCGUGCUAAAGAGACUGUCAGACUUGGAACCGGGAGGAGUCAGAAGUAUAUUUGGGGGAGCGGUAAAAUGCAAUAAUCCUAAAUAGACUACCCGUGGUGGAGACGUCUGACUAGAACGGAUUCGACGGUGAGGGACGAAAGCUAGGGGAGCGAACCG